UUUUUUUUUUUUUUUUUUGGUUUUUCAAGACAGGGUUUCUCUGUGUAGCCCUGGCUGUCCUGGAACUCACUUUGUAGACCAGGCUGGCCUUGAACUCAGAAAUCUGCCUGCCUCUGCCUCCCAAGUACUGGAAUUAAAGGCAUGUGCCACCACAUCCUGGCUUGAAAACAACUUUUAAGAGUAUGGAGAACUUGUAAACUAAUAUGCACAACAAAAUUCUCAAACAUUAAAAAUGACAACGUGGUGUGUCUUAUUUGUUUCUGUUUUGUGUUCUUCACAUUGCUGGUCUCCCUCCCCCCUUUACUUUGAAACUAGGAUUGAGAAUGACCUUGUGAUGUUCAGAGGUUUGAGGGUCAUUCAUAGAUGAAGGCGAGUUCCAGACCUGACAAGGAGGAAUCUGUAGAUGAUGGCCUUGGGCGCAUUUGAGCCUGUUUCUUCUGGAAAAAGCUUUUGAUGGUGGCGGUGAGGUUAGGAGUGUGUAGGUGUGUGUUUAGACAGACUUGUUUUAACCUCCUGAGUGCUGAGAUUAUAGGCAUCUGCUUUCAUGCCUGAUUCUACCUGAAAGAAAUUUAAAGCCCAAAUUCAGUCACCCUUGAUUAAGCAUAAAAAGUGCUGCUCUCCAUAGGGACUGGGCUGCAUCCUUUCCUGUAGACUUUCUUAACACACAUUUGUUAAGAUCAAACCUGAUAAAACUACAUGUUAAUAUGAAAAAUACAUGUGUCUUUAUUUUCUAAGUUUUUGUAUUAAAAUGUAAUUUAAAGAGUAUAUUAUAAUCCUUUGUGAUAGUUUAUAAUCCUAAAUUCUUAAGUCUUUUGUCAAUUCAGAAGUAAAUGUGUCUUGCUUCCUGUCAGCUGUUCAUGUGUUAGGAUUCUUUGUGUCUCUUAGCUGCUUCAAAUCUAGGCUCUGGUCCUCAUCUGGGGUCAAAGGAUCCCUUAGGAGGGGUCAGUUUUGCUUCUGAUUGUUAUAUGACAUGAACUUUCCCAUAUUAUAUCAUUUAAUAAUUUUUAUUUUGAAGAGGUAAUAGCAUAUAAUCUAAAAUACAGAAAUUAUUUAAAAUUUGACUAUUAGUUAAUUUUCUAAGACUGGAUAUGGAAUUAAUCUCAUGGUAACAACAGGUUUUCAUGUUAUGAGAAUGUUUCAGGGUGGGACCUGGGGAGUUCAAGUUUGGAGUUAAAUAAACUCUAGCCAUGUGUUUGUGUUUUCCAUUACUGUGAGGGUUCCCCAUAUUCCUGUGCAUGUAAAACACAGGGCCAUAAGAUUUGGGCUGUUCCCUUACUUUCAAUUUCUUAGUUUUCAUUAUGAGAAUGGCUUAAGCAGGAAUAGCAAGUUGUGUUUAACAAGAUGAAGAAACCAAAUGUUGACUUGCCUGCUGCUUUUGGCAGCUGGAAUAAGACCAGUAGUUUCUGUGGCAGCUCACACUGAUUGUCUCAUGGUUGGAAUGGCCCAUGGUGUCACAGAAUUCUGGACUGUGGGAACUCAGAUGUGUCCCACCACUGAGAGCGAGUGACCUGUGGUUGGGUUCCAGUGCAAAAGUCACCACUGUGGUAUAACCUGAAUUAACUGAAUUUCUGCUGCAUUUCUCUUGUGACUAUUUCUUUCAUAAUUUGCCAAAGUACUACUUGGUAUAGUAUGUUUGUAGUGAGUUUGACUAUUGUUUUAAAUGAAUGUGCUAGAAUAACUGUGAACAAACUAAAAUUACCUGUUUCAAUGUUGAAAACAUCUUAAUAAAGUGCACAUUAUAAACUCUUUCU
rnacentral:lncRNA from 1 species